AGAAAAUUGACUGAGUGGUUUAAGGUGUAAUAUUUGAGCUAUUAUAAAUGCUAAAUUUCAUAGGUUCGAAUCCUAUAUUUUCUG
rnacentral:tRNA from 1 species